GCUUAACACAUGCAAGUCGAGGGGCAGCAUGGUCUCAUUUUGCUAAGACUGAUGGCGACCGGCGCACGGGUGAGUAACACGUAUCCAACCUGCCGUCUACUCUUGGACAGCCUUCUGAAAGGAAGAUUAAUACAAGAUGGCAUCAUGAGUCCGCAUGUUCACAUGAUUAAAGGUAUUCCGGUAGACGAUGGGGAUGCGUUCCAUUAGAUAGUAGGCGGGGUAACGGCCCACCUAGUCUUCGAUGGAUAGGGGUUCUGAGAGGAAGGUCCCCCACAUUGGAACUGAGACACGGUCCAAACUCCUACGGGAGGCAGCAGUGAGGAAUAUUGGUCAAUGGGCGAGAGCCUGAACCAGCCAAGUAGCGUGAAGGAUGACUGCCCUAUGGGUUGUAAACUUCUUUUAUAAAGGAAUAAAGUCGGGUAUGCAUACCCGUUUGCAUGUACUUUAUGAAUAAGGAUCGGCUAACUCCGUGCCAGCAGCCGCGGUAAUACGGAGGAUCCGAGCGUUAUCCGGAUUUAUUGGGUUUAAAGGGAGCGUAGAUGGAUGUUUAAGUCAGUUGUGAAAGUUUGCGGCUCAACCGUAAAAUUGCAGUUGAUACUGGAUAUCUUGAGUGCAGUUGAGGCAGGCGGAAUUCGUGGUGUAGCGGUGAAAUGCUUAGAUAUCACGAAGAACUCCGAUUGCGAGGGCAGCCUGCUAAGCUGCAACUGACAUUGAGGCUCGAAAGUGUGGGUAUCAAACAAGAUUAGAUACCCUGGUAGUCCACACGGUAAACGAUGAAUACUCGCUGUUUGCGAUAUACUGCAAGCGGCCAAGCGAAAGCGUUAAGUAUUCCACCUGGGGAGUACGCCGGCAACGGUGAAACUCAAAGGAAUUGACGGGGGCCCGCACAAGCGGAGGAACAUGUGGUUUAAUUCGAUGAUACGCGAGGAACCUUACCCGGGCUUAAAUUGCAGAUGAAUUACGGUGAAAGCCGUAAGCCGCAAGGCAUCUGUGAAGGUGCUGCAUGGUUGUCGUCAGCUCGUGCCGUGAGGUGUCGGCUUAAGUGCCAUAACGAGCGCAACCCUUGUUGUCAGUUACUAACAGGUUCCGCUGAGGACUCUGACAAGACUGCCAUCGUAAGAUGUGAGGAAGGUGGGGAUGACGUCAAAUCAGCACGGCCCUUACGUCCGGGGCUACACACGUGUUACAAUGGGGGGUACAGAGGGCCGCUACCACGCGAGUGGAUGCCAAUCCCCAAAACCUCUCUCAGUUCGGACUGGAGUCUGCAACCCGACUCCACGAAGCUGGAUUCGCUAGUAAUCGCGCAUCAGCCACGGCGCGGUGAAUACGUUCCCGGGCCUUGUACACACCGCCCGUCAAGCCAUGGGAGCCGGGGGUACCUGAAGUGCAAAACCGCGAGGAGCGCCCUAGGGUAAAACUG
rnacentral:rRNA from 1 species